UCUUCCAGUUGGAACCCAGGCCUUUUCUCCAGCCAGGUUGGGACAGGAUGUGUUAAGAGUUUGGCCUUCUCCUGGAGGCCCAUGGACAAGAGUGAUUUGGGUCCUCGCUGUUCCUGACUCCAAGGCAUGGACAAGGCUGAUGGAAGGAUAGGCCCGGCUGUAGGCUUUACUGUCUCUGAUGGAUGGACUGGGAGCUUCACAUAAUUCCCUCUUCUCCAUGGGUAUGUUUUCCCAAGACACCCCAGAGAUGCCUGAAACCUCAUAAAAUAUCUAAUUCUACAUGUAAGCCCUGCAAUACUACAACUGUUGACAACCGGGACAGACACCAAUGAAACAGGUUUUCUCUAAAUUAGAAAAUGAUGUGUCCAUUGGAGGAAUUCAGAGAAACAUCACAGUUAUAAGGAAGAAAAACAAUGAUUAACCAGCACUCAGAGACAAUGGCUAUCAGCUCCUCGGUGUGUGUCUUUCUAGCCUUUUGAUCUUUCCUACCUAUUCUCUACCCACUUCUCCAAAACAAGCAAACAUCAGUAAAGAGCAUUCCCUGAACAAAACUAAAGUCAAAGUGGAUCAAGGACCUCAACAUAAAACCAGAUACCCUAAAUCAAUUGGAAAAAAAAGUGGGGAACAGCCUAGAACUCAUUGGCACAGGAGACAACUUCCUGAACAGAACACCAACAGCACAGGCUCUAAGAGCAACAGUCAAUAAAUGGGACCUCAUGAAACUGAAAAGUUUCUGUAAAGAAAAGGAUACCGUCAUCAAAACAAAACGACUGCCUACAGAUUGGGAAAGAAUCUUCACUAACCCUUUAUCUGACAGAGGACUAAUAUCCAGUAUAUACAAAGAACUAAAGAAGCUGAAAAGCAGCAAACCAAGUAAUCCAAUU